CCAGGUCGCCCGUGACAGGCUAGAGCCCACGUGAAGGGGAGCCACGGCGAUCCAACGGCACGGGUCGGCCGGGCGCCUCUGCGAAACCCUAACCACCAGCGAGGAGACCUUCUUCCCCACGCCGCCACCUCCCGUCUCAACAGCUAACAAGUUGUGGAGAAAUAGGACACACCGAUAAGGAACACCAAGAUGGAUGCCCCUAUUGUGAAGCGAGUCACUUGGGUGAAGAAUGUCCCACUACGCAAGUCACCUGUUUCAUGUGUGAAGGGACUAACCACAAUCCAGCCCAGUGUCGUCUACUCACCACGACACAAGAAGUGGUUCAGCAACAGAGGAAAGGAAUGAAGAAGGUUGUCCAGGAAAUCAUCAUGAAGAGAAAGGCUUUAGUUACUUGCCAUAAGUGUAGGAGCAAGGGGCACUACGCCAACGUGUGUCCAGAAGUGAUCAGAGAUAGAGAAAGAUGGGGGCGCUACUCCAGCCCGUGUCCAGAAAAGAACAGAGGGAGAGGGAGAUGGGGACCUUGGAGCAAACAAGCCCCAUGACUUGUCAGGAGUAAUUUGUUUGAUAUUCUUCCCUUCUGUAAGAAUUCAUUCAGUGGACUAUUCCAAGGGAGCUAAUGUUAGUAAUUGCAGGAUAGCUAUCUGAGGUUAUUCUUCCCUUCCGCAAUAAGGGUAUUAGGAGACUUUACAUUAUCUUGGAGAUGCUGUGUUGAGACGUGCAAUAGCAAUGGAAGAGACUAUACACUUCCUGUGUUGUGCGGUCUUUUGAGCGACGUGAUUGCGAUUUCUUUUGUGAGCAGAAUAUGACUAGUGGGUCCUUGCGCGGUGCUUCGCUGGUACUUUAAUGUGCUGUUUUUUUUUGUAUUUGGCGUAAACUUGUAUGCACUGGGCGCUUCGCUUGUACAUCGUGCUGGUUUUGCAUAUUUAUAAGCUAGUCAUUUUA